UUUUUCUUUUUAUUUCAUUUAAUUCCUUUUUCUUAAAAAAAUAAUUAAAAAUAGUUCCCUUAUCAUUUUUUCAUCCAAAUUUUUUCUAUAACUCCAUAAAAAUAUUUUCUACCUCAUGUCAUUUUUAUCAUUUUUUUAAAAUCAUUUAUAAUUAAAUGCAUAUUUUCUUUUAUUUUUUAUUUAAUUUUAUUUUUUUAAUUUUAUUUUAAUCAUUUUCAAAUAUUUUUAACCCCAACUUUUGAGGUCUAUCUACUUUGAAUUUUGUUAACUUCCCACAUUUUUGUUAGACUUUGCUUUGAUACUUUGACCCUUCUUUGAUAAUUUCCAUUUUAUUUUAUUUAUUUAAUCAAUAUUAAAUUAUUAUUAAUUGAAAUUUUAUUUUAUUUUACUGAUUUUCGAUAUUUUGAGUUAAGCCUGGUUACUUGGUUGAUGUCUUAUUCCUCAUCUCAAAUCACUGAUAGGUGGAUUUGAGGUUGAUCAACAUUCUUUGAUCCAAAACUGUUGAAAGAUGAUUGUGAAUCAUCUUCAAUACUUUGCAUCAAUGAUAGGUUAACCCUCGAUGUGCCAUAUUUUGAGUCCUUUGAUUUGAGGAUAGAAUGAUCCCUUGUGAUUGACUUGGUUCCCUCUUUCAUUCUC
rnacentral:lncRNA from 1 species